rnacentral:rRNA from 1 species
GACGAAACGCUGGCGGCGUGCUUAACACAUGCAAGUCGAGCGGUAAGGCCCUUUCGGGGGUACACGAGCGGCGAACGGGUGAGUAACACGUGGGUGACCUGCCCUCAGCUCUGGGAUAAGCCUGGGAAACUGGGUCUAAUACCGGAUAUGACCCCAUGACGCAUGUCGUGGGGUGGAAAGCCUUGUGCGGCUGAGGAUGGGCCCGCGGCCUAUCAGCUUGUUGGUGGGGUGAUGGCCUACCAAGGCGACGACGGGUAGCCGGCCUGAGAGGGCGACCGGCCACACUGGGACUGAGACACGGCCCAGACUCCUACGGGAGGCAGCAGUGGGGAAUCUUGCGCAAUGGGCGAAAGCCUGACGCAAGCGACGCCGCGUGAGGAUGACGGCU